CGGGUUCUCUGGCCCACCUUCGCCGCCGCUGUAUUCGCGGCCCCCUGGACCCCGCCUUAGGCUUGUUGGCCCCCAAGUUUAACCCAGUAGAACUGCUCCUCCCGGACCACGAAUGGGAGGGUGGUUGAUUUAUCUUGCCUGAUUCAGCCGUGUGCUUCCUCCCACCUCCAGAGUUUCUUCAGAGAAAGAUUGGAGAAUGUCCUUGAGGCCAAGCUGUGGGAGAAGUAAAUUUGAAGCAGCACAAGUAUUGUAGACCUUGAAUUGGACCCUCGGGUUGGUCUUGCCUCCCUAGCUCCUCCUGUGUUGAUAAUACUGGUCCCUAGACGAGACACAUCACGGAGAUUAGAGCAUGACCACUGGGAAGCAGGAGAUGCUGCUUUGAAUCGUGGCUUUGCUAACUUAGACAUGGAUGACCUUUCAAUGCUUCUCUAUGCCAAGGAUUUUUUAUUCACAUCAUGGAGCUAAUGCUAUUGCUUACCUUUUAGAUUACAUGAGGAGACGCAUGGAAAGUCCAUAGUAGAGGUGUUGGGAUAUAGUAACUGCCGGUUUUGAUUAUUAUAAUUCAGUAUCUAUAUGGAUGGUAAUUUCUCUUUCCCAAUCUUGUUCUUUGCUACAAGAAUAAUCUCCAUUAAACACCAUUAUGUUACCCUCCUUAUCAAAUUACAUUUAUAGAUUCCCAUUGCUUUCAAAAUAAAUUUUCAGUUCUUUGGUCAUGGGUUACAGGCUCUCUAUCUUGAAGGACCAUCUUGCUACCUGUGUGAACAUCUGCUCCAUGCCAAUUAAUCCAUUCCUUUUCUGUGGCUUGUGAUGUUUGGUGGAGUCAAUGUCUUUUACUGUCAGCUUUUUCAUCAGUAUAUUGUACAUAAUAAUAAACACCUAUCCCUUCUCACUGUACAGGGAAAG